GUGAAGGUGGCCGAGUCGGUCUAAGGCGCUGGUUUUAGGCACCAGUCUCUUCGGAGGCGCGGGUUCGAAUCCCGUCCUUCACA
rfam:Allomyces macrogynus ATCC 38327 genomic scaffold supercont3.15, whole genome shotgun sequence.